rnacentral:rRNA from 1 species
AGUGAACGCUGGCGGUAGGCCUAACACAUGCAAGUCGAACGGCAGCACAGUAAGAGCUUGCUCUUACGGGUGGCGAGUGGCGGACGGGUGAGGAAUACAUCGGAAUCUACUUUUUCGUGGGGGAUAACGUAGGGAAACUUACGCUAAUACCGCAUACGACCUACGGGUGAACGCAGGGGAUCUUCGGACCUUGCGCGAUUGAAUGAGCCGAUGUCGGAUUAGCUAGUUGGCGGGGUAAAGGCCCACCAACGCGACGAUCCGUAGCUGGUCUGAGAGGAUGAUCAGCCACACUGGAACUGAGACACGGUCCAGACUCCUACGGGAGGCAGCAGUGGGGAAUAUUGGACAAUGGGCGCAAGCCUGAUCCAGCCAUACCGCGUGGGUGAAGAAGGCCUUCGGGUUGUAAAGCCCUUUUGUUGGGAAAGAAAAGCAGCAGGUUAAUACCCCGCUGUUCUGACGGUACCCAAAGAAUAAGCACCGGCUAACUUCGUG